rnacentral:rRNA from 1 species
UACGGGGGGGGCAAGCGUUGUUCGGAAUUACUGGGCGUAAAGGGCUCGUAGGCGGCCAACUAAGUCCGGGGUGAAAUCCUCCAGCUCAACUGGAGAACUGCCUCGGAUACUGGGUGCCUCGAGGGUGGUAGGGGUAUGCGGAACUAUCGGUGGAGCGGUGAAAUGCGUUGAUAUCGAUAGGAACUCCGGUGGCGAAGGCGGCAUACUGGACCACAUCUGACGCUGAGGCGCGAAAGCCAGGGGAGCAAACGGG